rnacentral:sRNA from 2 species
AAGGCGUGCCCAUCCUGGGCGUUUCCUCCCUAUGAACUUCCCAAGCCGGGCCUUUUUGGCCCGGCUCUUUUUUUUGCGCCU